AUACGGAGGGUGCAAGCGUUACUCGGAAUCACUGGGCGUAAAGCGCGCGCAGGCGGUUUGAUAAGUUGGAUGUGAAAUCCUAUGGCUCAACCAUAGAACUGCAUCCAAAACUGUCAAACUAGAGUCUGGGAGAGGAAGAUGGAAUUAGUUGUGUAGGGGUAAAAUCCGUAGAGAUAACUAGGAAUACCAAAAGCGAAGGCGAUCUUCUGGAACAGUACUGACGCUGAGGCGCGAAAGCGUGGGGAGCAAACAGGAUUAGAAACCCUAGUAGUCC
rnacentral:rRNA from 1 species